AUGGGCAAGUGCAGCGGGCGCUGCACGCUGGUCGCCUUCUGCUGCCUGCAGCUGGUGGCUGCGCUGGAGCGGCAGAUCUUUGACUUCCUGGGCUACCAGUGGGCUCCAAUCCUAGCCAACUUCCUGCACAUCAUGGCAGUUAUCCUGGGCAUCUUUGGCACCGUGCAGUACCGCUCCCGGUACCUCAUUCUGUACGCAGCCUGGCUGGUGCUCUGGGUUGGCUGGAAUGCAUUUAUCAUCUGCUUCUACUUGGAGGUUGGACAGCUGUCCCAGGACCGGGACUUCAUCAUGACCUUCAACACAUCCCUGCAUCGCUCCUGGUGGAUGGAGAACGGGCCAGGCUGCCUGGUGACACCUGUCCUGAACUCCCGCCUGGCCCUGGAGGACCACCAUGUCAUCUCAGUCACCGGCUGCCUGCUUGACUACCCCUACAUUGAAGCACUUAGCAGUGCCCUGCAGAUCUUCUUGGCUCUGUUCGGCUUCGUGUUCGCCUGCUACGUGAGCAAAGUAUUCCUGGAAGAGGAGGACAGCUUCGAUUUCAUCGGCGGUUUUGACUCCUACGGAUACCAGGCGCCCCAGAAGACGUCGCAUUUACAACUGCAGCCUCUGUACACGUCUGGGUAG
rnacentral:lncRNA from 1 species